AUAUCGGGUAGCUAAUCUCAUUGGAUUCUUGAACGUGAAAAUAUAUCGGAUAUGAUCGGCAACUGGGGGAAAACUUUAUUCCCAGACGAAAACUUUUCAGCGGAUAUUUUAAAGCUGGAGUAAAUCAAGGGGCCGCUGUUGUCAGGCGGAUACCGCGUCGUGGAUCCCAUCCAUCCAUCCCUCCGGUGUUUCGCAUUCCGUUCACCGUUUUUCGCGAGGGACGCGGUACAGUUCACGUGUAUCUGAAAAGAAAAAGAAAACAGGAUGAAGAAUAUCUGGUUGCGGGUCGGGCGUACAUCGAAUUCUCCAAGGCAUCGCGACGGUCCGUACGGGCAGCUUUAAUAAAAGCUGCGCUAUAUUCACAUCGAUUUUCGAUAUCCUUAUACGUUCGUUACAGUCCGAUGUGGUAAAAGAAAUAUUAAAACUGUUGCGGUUAAACAAAUUUAUAGAAAAUUGAUUCAUAAUAAAAUAUCUUAAACUGAUAUCUCACCAAUUUAUGUCACUGCAUUUCGAAUCAUUUUAUGGUGCGAUCUACGUGUAUUCGACGUGGAUUGUGGCUGGAAAAUGGAAAAUUUUCAUUCAUUCUGAAACAAAUAAAUACAUUCCACACAAUAUUUUUCUUUCGAUGAUUCUCAUUAUUAUUAAUACAAUAAUUAAUGCGUAUAAUUCGAUUAUCUUUUAGAUUCAUUGUCGUAUUUUCUUUAAUUUUAUCGAUUCCGCGUUGUAUGAAAAUAUAGAGGAAUGAUAUUUGUAUAGUGUACGUUUCAAUUGCGUCUAUCUCUACAUAGACAGUUGCUCCAUUAUUAGAUUCCUGACAUA
rnacentral:misc_RNA from 1 species